CCGUUAAACUGCUUGGGAAACUGAUAAUCUAGAGUAAGGGAGAGGCAGAUGGAAUUCUUGGUGUAGGGGUAAAAUCCGUAGAUAUCAAGAAGAAUACCUAUUGCGAAGGCGAUCUGCUGGAACUUAACUGACGCUAUGCGUGAAAGCGUGGGGAGCAAACAGG
rnacentral:rRNA from 1 species